UACGAAGGGGGCUAGCGUCGCUCGGAAUCACUGGGCGUAAAGGGCGCGUAGGCGGAUCUUUAAGUCGGGGGUGAAAGCCCAGGGCUCAACCCUGGAAUUGCCUUCGAUACUGAAGAUCUCGAGACCGGAAGAGGUAAGUGGAACUGCGAGUGUAGAGGUGAAAUUCGUAGAUAUUCGCAAGAACACCAGUGGCGAAGGCGGCUUACUGGUCCGGUUCUGACGCUGAGGCGCGAAAGCGUGGGGAGCAAACAGG
rnacentral:rRNA from 1 species